AGGUAGCGAAAUCAUUUGUUUUUUUAUUGAAAACUUGUAUGAGGGGAUGAAUAGGAAUUUAUUUAUAAUUGUUGCUUUUCUUGAAUUUGGUUUUUUCAUGAAAAACUGAAAGCUUUUCUAAAGACGAGAAGACCCCAAAAUCUUUAUUUUAGAAGGAUUUUUUUUAAUUUUUAUUUGGGGGAAAGUUUUAUGGUUAUAAGGAGUUUUUUUAGAUUGAACUUUUUUAGGUUGGUUGGAUAGAUACUUUGGGGAUAACAGGAUUAUUUUUCUUUGAAGUUCUUAUUUUAAGGGGAGAUUGUUACCU
rnacentral:rRNA from 1 species